CACGUAGGGCGCAAGCGUUGUCCGGAAUUAUUGGGCGUAAAGAGCUCGUAGGCGGUCCGUCACGUCCGCUGUGAAAACCCAGGGCUCAACCCUGGGCUUGCAGUGGAUACGGGCAGACUAGAGGUAGGUAGGGGAGAAUGGAAUUCCCGGUGUAGCGGUGAAAUGCGCAGAUAUCGGGAGGAACACCGGUGGCGAAGGCGGUUCUCUGGGCCCUACCUGACGCUGAGGAGCGAAAGCGUG
rnacentral:rRNA from 1 species